UACGUAGGGUGCGAGCGUUAAUCGGAAUUACUGGGCGUAAAGCGUGCGCAGGCGGUUUUGUAAGCCAGAUGUGAAAUCCCCGGGCUUAACCUGGGAAUGGCAUUUGGGACUGCAAGGCUGGAGUGUGGCAGAGGAGACUGGAAUUCCUGGUGUAGCAGUGAAAUGCGUAGAUAUCAGGAGGAAUACCGAUGGCGAAGGCAGGUCUCUGGGCUGACACUGACGCUCAUGCACGAAAGCUAGGGGAGCGAACAGG
rnacentral:rRNA from 1 species